AUUGAACGUUUGCUGCAGGCCUAACACAUGCAAGUCGAACGAGUGGCGGACGGGUGAGUAAUGUCUGGGAAACUGCCUGAUGGAGGGGGAUAACUACUGGAAACGGUAGCUAAUACCGCAUACCAUCGGAUGUGCCCAUAUGGGAUUAGCCAGUAGGUGGGGUAAAGGCUCACAUAGGCGACGAUCCCUAGCUGGUCUGAGAGGAUGACCAGCGACACUGAAACGGAGACACGGUCCAGACUCCUACGGGAGGCAGCAGUGGGGAAUAUUGCACUAUUGGCGCAAGCAUGAUGCAGCCAUGAAGCGAGUAUGAAGGAGGGCUUCGGGUUGUAAAGUACUUUCAGCGGGGAGACGUUACCCGCAGAAGAAGCGCAGGCUAACUCCGUGCCGGCAGCCGCGGUAAUAC
rnacentral:rRNA from 1 species